GGGGGGGGGGGGGGGGGGGGGGGGCGGGGGCGGGGCGGGGGGGGGGGCCCUGCGGUGGUGGGGUGCGCGGGUGGCGAGGGGGUGAGUCGCGCGUUAGUGGCCUGCGCUUGACUUUGGGGUGACUUCAGGAAGCUGGGGCUAAUACCGGAUAGGAGCUCCUGCUGCAUGGUGGGGGUUGGAACGUUUCGGCGGUUGGGGCUGGACUCGCGGCUUAUCAGCUUGUUGGUGGGGUAGUGGCUUACCAAGGCUUUGACGGGUAGCCGGCCUGAGAGGGUGACCGGCCACAUUGGGACUGAGAUACGGCCCAGACUCCUACGGGAGGCAGCAGUGGGGAAUAUUGCACAAGGGGCGGAAGCCUGAUGCAGCAACGCCGCGUGCGGGAUGACGGCCUUCGGGUUGUAAACCGCUUUCGCCUGUGACGAAGCGUGAGUGACGGUAAUGGGUAAAGAAGCACCGGCUAACUACGUG
rnacentral:rRNA from 1 species